AUAAACGCUGGCGGCGUGCAUGAGACAUGCAAGUCGAACGAAGGAUCGGGCUUGCUCGAUCCUUAGUGGCGGACGGCUGAGUAACGCGUAGGUGACCUACCCCGAAGUGGGGAAUAACUGCCCGAAAGGGUGGCUAAUACCGCAUGUGGUCGCACGUUCAUUCGUGCGAGUAAAGCCGCAAGGCGCUUCGGGAGGGGCCUGCGUCCGAUUAGCUCGUUGGUGGGGUAAUGGCUUACCAAGGCGACGAUCGGUAGGUGGUCUGAGAGGACGAUCACCCAGACUGGGACUGAGACACGGCCCAGACUCCUACGGGAGGAAGCAGUCGGGAAUUUUGCUCAAUGGGGGAAACCCUGAAGCAGCAACGCCGCGUGAGGGAUGAAGGCGUUCGGGUUGUAAACCUCUUUUGUCAGGGACGAUGAUGACGGUACCUGGCGAAUAAGCCACGGCUAACUACGUG
rnacentral:rRNA from 1 species